GGGGAUAUAGUUCAGUUGGUAGAGUGCUUGUAUCACAUGCACGCAGCCCUGGGUUCAAUCCCCAGUACCACA
rnacentral:tRNA from 1 species